rnacentral:rRNA from 1 species
GAUGAACGCUCGCUACAGGCUUAACACAUGCAAGUCGAGGGGCAGCAUGGUCUUAGCUUGCUAAGGCCGAUGGCGACCGGCGCACGGGUGAGUAACACGUAUCCAACCUGCCGUCUACUCUUGGACAGCCUUCUGAAAGGAAGAUUAAUACAAGAUGGCAUCAUGAGUCCGCAUGUUCACAUGAUUAAAGGUAUUCCGGUAGACGAUGGGGAUGCGUUCCAUUAGAUAGUAGGCGGGGUAACGGCCCACCUAGUCUUCGAUGGAUAGGGGUUCUGAGAGGAAGGUCCCCCACAUUGGAACUGAGACACGGUCCAAACUCCUACGGGAGGCGGCAGUGAGGAAUAUUGGUCAAUGGGCGCAGGCCUGAACCAGCCAAGUAGCGUGAAGGAUGACUGCCCUAUGGGUUGUAAACUUCUUUUAUAAAGGAAUAAAGUCGGGUAUGUAUACCCGUUUGCAUGUACUUUAUGAAUAAGGAUCGGCUAACUCCGUG